CCGCUGAGGCCGGGCGCUACCAGCGCGGGCUCCGGGGCGGUGGCGGCACUGCCCUCGCCGAGCGCUGGGCCGGGGGCCCGGAAGGCCUCCUCGCUCUCCGACAGGCCCUUG
rnacentral:miRNA from 1 species